AAGUCGAACGGUAGCACAGAGAGCUUGCUCUCGGGUGACGAGUGGCGGACGGGUGAGUAAUGUCUGGGAAACUGCCUGAUGGAGGGGGAUAACUACUGGAAACGGUAGCUAAUACCGCAUAACGUCGCAAGACCAAAGAGGGGGACCUUCGGGCCUCUUGCCAUCAGAUGUGCCCAGAUGGGAUUAGCUAGUAGGUGGGGUAACGGCUCACCUAGGCGACGAUCCCUAGCUGGUCUGAGAGGAUGACCAGCCACACUGGAACUGAGACACGGUCCAGACUCCUACGGGAGGCAGCAGUGGGGAAUAUUGCACAAUGGGCGCAAGCCUGAUGCAGCCAUGCCGCGUGUAUGAAGAAGGCCUUCGGGUUGUAAAGUACUUUCAGCGGGGAGGAAGGUGUUGCGGUUAAUAACCGCAGCAAUUGACGUUACCCGCAGAAGAAGCACCGGCUAACUCCGUGCCAGCAGCCGCGGUAAUACGGAGGGUGCAAGCGUUAAUCGGAAUUACUGGGCGUAAAGCGCACGCAGGCGGUCUGUCAAGUCGGAUGUGAAAUCCCCGGGCUCAACCUGGGAACUGCAUUCGAAACUGGCAGGCUAGAGUCUUGUAGAGGGGGGUAGAAUUCCAGGUGUAGCGGUGAAAUGCGUAGAGAUCUGGAGGAAUACCGGUGGCGAAGGCGGCCCCCUGGACAAAGACUGAC
rnacentral:rRNA from 1 species